rnacentral:rRNA from 1 species
CCUACGGGGGGCAGCAGUGGGGAAUAUUGGACAAUGGGCGAAAGCCUGAUCCAGCCAUGCCGCGUGUGUGAAGAAGGCCUUCGGGUUGUAAAGCACUUUCAGUGGGGAAGAAAGCCUUGGGGCUAAUACCCUCGAGGAAGGACAUCACCCACAGAAGAAGCACCGGCUAACUCCGUGCCAGCAGCCGCGGUAAUACGGAGGGUGCGAGCGUUAAUCGGAAUUACUGGGCGUAAAGCGCGCGUAGGCGGUCUGAUAAGCCGGUUGUGAAAGCCCCGGGCUCAACCUGGGAACGGCAUCCGGAACGGUCAGGCUAGAGUGCAGGAGAGGAAGGUAGAAUUCCCGGUGUAGCGGUGAAAUGCGUAGAGAUCGGGAGGAAUACCAGUGGCGAAGGCGGCCUUCUGGACUGACACUGACGCUGAGGUGCGAAAGCGUGGGUAGCAAACAGGAUUAGAUACCCCGGUAGUC